GACGAACGCUAGCGGCGCGCUUAACACAUGCAAGUCGAGCGGAAAGGCCCUUCGGGGUACUCGAGCGGCGAACGGGUGAGUAACACGUGAGCAACCUACCCCUGGCUCUGGGAUAACCCCGGGAAACCGGGGCUAAUACCGGAUAUCCACGCACUGCCGCAUGGCGGUGCGUGAAAAGUUUUUCGGUUGGGGAUGGGCUCGCGGCCUAUCAGCUUGUUGGUGAGGUAACGGCCCACCAAGGCUUCGACGGGUAGCCGGCCUGAGAGGGCGACCGGCCACACUGGGACUGAGAUACGGCCCAGACUCCUACGGGAGGCAGCAGUGGGGAAUAUUGCACAAUGGGCGCAAGCCUGAUGCAGCGACGCCGCGUGAGGGAAGAAGGCCUUCGGGUCGUAAACCUCUUUCGGCAGGGACGAAGCGAAAGUGACGGUACCUGCAGAAGAAGCGCCGGCCAACUACGUGCCAGCAGCCGCGGUAAGACGUAGGGCGCAAGCGUUGUCCGGAUUUAUUGGGCGUAAAGAGCUCGUAGGCGGCUUGUCGCGUCGACUGUGAAAACCCCGCGGCUUAACUGCGGGACUGCAGUCGAUACGGGCAGGCUAGAGUUCGGUAGGGGAGACUGGAAUUCCUGGUGUAGCGGUGAAAUGCGCAGAUAUCAGGAGGAACACCGGUGGCGAAGGCGGGUCUCUGGGCCGAUACUGACGCUGAGGAGCGAAAGCGUGGGGAGCGAACAGGAUUAGAUACCCUGGUAGUCCACGCUGUAAACGUUGGGCGCUAGGUGUGGGGGGCCUCUCCGGUCCUCUGUGCCGCAGCUAACGCAUUAAGCGCCCCGCCUGGGGAGUACGGCCGCAAGGCUAAAACUCAAAGGAAUUGACGGGGGCCCGCACAAGCGGCGGAGCAUGCGGAUUAAUUCGAUGCAACGCGAAGAACCUUACCUGGGUUUGACAUGGCGGCUAAAGCCACAGAGAUGUGGUGUCCUUCGGGGGCCGUCACAGGUGGUGCAUGGCUGUCGUCAGCUCGUGUCGUGAGAUGUUGGGUUAAGUCCCGCAACGAGCGCAACCCUCGUUCCAUGUUGCCAGCGGGUAAUGCCGGGGACUCAUGGGAGACUGCCGGGGUCAACUCGGAGGAAGGUGGGGAUGACGUCAAGUCAUCAUGCCCCUUAUGUCCAGGGCUUCACGCAUGCUACAAUGGCCGGUACAAAGGGCUGCGAUACCGCAAGGUGGAGCGAAUCCCAAAAAGCCGGUCUCAGUUCGGAUCGGGGUCUGCAACUCGACCCCGUGAAGUCGGAGUCGCUAGUAAUCGCAGAUCAGCAAUGCUGCGGUGAAUACGUUCCCGGGCCUUGUACACACCGC
rnacentral:rRNA from 1 species